rnacentral:rRNA from 1 species
AUUGAACGCUGGCGGCAUGCCUUACACAUGCAAGUCGAACGGUAACGCGGGGCAACCUGGCGACGAGUGGCGAACGGGUGAGCAAUGUAUCGGAACGUGCCCAGUUGUGGGGGAUAACUGCUCGAAAGAGCAGCUAAUACCGCAUACGAUCUGAGGGUGAAAGCGGGGGAUCGCAAGACCUCGCGCAAAUUGAGCGGCCGAUAUCAGAUUAGGUAGUUGGUGGGGUAAAGGCUCACCAAGCCAACGAUCUGUAGCUGGUCUGAGAGGACGACCAGCCACACUGGGACUGAGACACGGCCCAGACUCCUACGGGAGGCAGCAGUGGGGAAUUUUGGACAAUGGACGCAAGUCUGAUCCAGCCAUGCCGCGUGCGGGAAGAAGGCCUUCGGGUUGUAAACCGCUUUUGUCAGGGAAGAAACGCUCUGGGUUAAUACCUCGGGGUAAUGACGGUACCUGAAGAAUAAGCACCGGCUAACUACGUGCCAGCCGCCGCAGUAAAAC